UGGGGAAUAUUGGACAAUGGGCGAAAGCCUGAUCCAGCCAUGCCGCGUGUGUGAAGAAGGUCUUCGGAUUGUAAAGCACUUUAAGUUGGGAGGAAGGGCAGUAAGCGAAUACCUUGCUGUUUUGACGUUACCGACAGAAUAAGCACCGGCUAACUCUGUGCCAGCAGCCGCGGUAAUACAGAGGGUGCAAGCGUUAAUCGGAAUUACUGGGCGUAAAGCGCGCGUAGGUGGUUCGUUAAGUUGAAUGUGAAAGCCCCGGGCUCAACCUGGGAACUGCAUCCAAAACUGGCGAGCUAGAGUAGGGCAGAGGGUGGUGGAAUUUCCUGUGUAGCGGAGAAAUGCGUAGAUAUAGGAAGGAACACCAGUGGCGAAGGCGACCACCUGGACUCAUACUGACACUGAGGUGCGAAAGCGUGGGGAGCAAACAGG
rnacentral:rRNA from 1 species